AGCAGCCGCGGUAAUUCCAGCUCCAAUAGCGUAUAUUAAAGUUGUUGCAGUUAAAAAGCUCGUAGUUGAAUUUCGGGGUUAGUAGGCUGGUCGUGCCACCGGUAUGUACUGGUCUUACUGAUUCCUCCUUCCUGAUGAACUGUAAUGCCAUUAAUUUGGUGUUGCAGGGAAUCUGGACUGUUACUUUGAAAAAAUUAGAGUGUUUAAAGCAGGCUAACGCUUGAAUACAUUAGCAUGGAAUAAUGAAAUAGGACGUUCGAUCCUAUUUUGUUGGUUUCUAGGAUUGACGUA
rnacentral:rRNA from 1 species